rnacentral:rRNA from 1 species
AUACGUAGGGGGCGAGCGUUGUCCGGAAUGAUUGGGCGUAAAGGGCGCGUAGGCGGCCCGGUAAGUCUGGAGUGAAAGUCCUGUUUUUAAGAUGGGAAUUGCUUUGGAUACUGUCGGGCUUGAGUGCAGGAGAGGUAAGUGGAAUUCCCAGUGUAGCGGUGAAAUGCGUAGAGAUUGGGAGGAACACCAGUGGCGAAGGCGACUUACUGGACUGUAACUGACGCUGAGGCGCGAAAGUGUGGGGAGCAAACAGGAUUAGAUACCCUGGUAGUCCACACUGUAAACGAUGAAUGCUAGGUGUAGGGGGUAUCGACCCCUUCUGUGCCGCAGUCAGCACAAUAAGCAUUCCGCCUGGGGAGUACGGCCGCAAGGUUGAAACUCAAAGGAAUUGACGGGG